GGAGCGAAGAGGAUCUUGUAAAGCUAAUGACAACCCUGCCGCUUGAUUAGCGAGGAAAUAAAGCUGAUGGCGAUCACAAGAAACAAGGGUGUGCGUAUUAGUUAGGGUUGUUAAAGAUGGUGACCGCGUACGUGUCACUGUGUCAGCGAUACGAGGAAAAAGCAGGUAGCUAGUGUGAAAGAGUCUUUACCCGAUUGUUACGGUGGAUUCUUUACCCAAGGAGGUGCUGUCGGCGGCUGCUACUCUGAUGGAAAUAAAUGCAGCAAGAGGAAAGUCCGAAAGUGACGGCAUAGAGAGAGACGACGCUUUUCUACCCGUGUUGAUUCUCCAGGAACAUGCAUGCCUCGCGAUCGUCGUAGGUAAGAUGAUUUUAACCUUUCACCCCGGGUUAAAAGUAAACUAAAAAAAGGCUUCGGCUUCCACAAUUAGCAAGAUGUCAAAUCUGAUACUCC
rnacentral:lncRNA from 1 species